rnacentral:rRNA from 1 species
AACCUUUGCAAUGUGCGCAAGCACGACAAGGUUAAUCCGAGUGUUUCCUGCUAAAGGAAUCUUUUGUUAGUCCUAAAAACACUAGCGAAUAAGGGGUGGGCAAGUUCUGGUGUCAGCCGCCGCGGUAAAACCAGCACCUCAAGUGGUCAGGAGGAUUAUUGGGCCUAAAGCAUCCGUAGCCUGCUCUGUAAGUUUCCGGUUAAAUCCAUUAGCUCAACUGAUGGGCCGCCGGAAAAACUGCAAAGCUAGGGAGUGGGAGAGGUAGACGGUACUCGGUAGGAAGGGGUAAAAUCCUUUGAUCUAUUGAUGACCACCUGUGGCGAAGGCGGUCUACCAGAACACGUCCGACGGUGAGGGAUGAAAGCUGGGGGAGCAAACCGGAUUAGAUACCCGGGUAGUCCCAGCUGUAAACGAUGCAGACUCGGUGAUGCCCUGGCUUGUGGCCAGUGCAGUGCCGCAGGGAAGCCGUUAAGUUUGCCGCCUGGGAAGUACGUACGCAAGUAUGAAACUUAAAGGAAUUGGCGGGGGAGCAC